UCCCAUCAAUCCCCUCGUCCCAUCGCACCCCUCCUCCCCCCAUCUCCUCGUUGCCGCCAUCGACGGCGCUCCCCUCGAUCCCUCCCACCGCCGUCUCCCUCCCUUAGAUCGAGCUCCCCAUCCCCUCUCCCUCCCACCUCUCGAAGCUCCCGCGUCCCACCGCCGCGCAUCGUGCUCCUCUGCAGCUUCUGCGGCGACGCAGCCGCCGCUGACUACUCUCCUUCCUCCUUCCUCCAGCACUACUCUCCAACCUCGCCUCUCGCUUAGCCGCCCCGCGCCCCGCGCUCGCCGGGGCCCCGUAGCGCCGCUCAGUCCCUCACGCUCAGGCCCAACGAGGUCGCGCACGCGCUCACCGGCACACCCGUCUUCACCGUCUGCAACUCCAGGAACGCGUUCGUGUUCGUCUCCGCUCCCUCGGCCUCCUCUGCUUCCGUUCCGAGGACGCCGAUGCCCUCCUCUUCGUCCGAGGUCGUCGGAACCACGACGACCGGCGCGCCCGUGCGUGAGGAGAUGACGACGACCCCGACAAGCCAUUCAGGGCCAGCAAGAAGGCCACCGCCCCAGCACCACCAGCAGCAGUACCCUCAAGGGACGAGACCACCGGCGCCCACCAGGAUCUCCGCCGCUGCAUCUUGGUAACGAUCACGUGAGAAAGCACCGCAGGUGGGCGGCUGCAUCUGAGGCUGAGGAAUUUGGUUCGGGGUGAGCGGGGGAUGGCUUGAUCCUAGAAGGGAUCUGAUGCGCUACUGCAGACAUACGAACACAGGAGGGGUCCAGAUUUGCCGUUUGCCAGAUUCGCGCUCGUGCCGUAGGUUGCCAGCGAAGUACCUCAGCCUGUUCAGGCAUCUUUCAUACAUUGAGCAACAACGGCGAACUCGAGCGGAUGAUGGAAGGCCUCGGUUUGGAGCCAAGAAAAGGCGUGGACGAGGCCAUUUCUGCAAGGCCGCCCGCAAAUUGCUGCAUGCAACAUCGAUGUAGCUCUGAUCCAGAACCUGGUUCUUGGAUGCAACACGCAUUGUCCUGGACAGGUAUAGCCCCGGUCAUACCAUAAUAUGUUAGUGCUCAGUCAUGUAUGCAUCUCCAUGUUGCAAGCCUGCCAUACUUGAUAGGAUCAGUACUUAUUAACUACUCAUAUGUGCUUGUAGAGAAGAAUACAAUUAUUAUUUAACCAGUCCAGAUUUUUAACAUUUGAUGUGCUUCCAAGGGACACAGAUCUCUACUCUUCUAUAUAAUCCACACUUUGUUCUGGAAGCAAGUCAGUUGUACCAUGCUGUUACAUCACAACAAGGUGUCAUUUAUCACAACAAGGUAUCAUUUGAUGUACUGCUGCUGUUGAUGCUCCCUGGAGUCUAGAUGUAGAUGUACUGUUGUUGUUGAUGCUAUAGCUGUAGCCUGUACUAUUGCUGUUUUGCUACUACAGUGUAAGUUUCGCUGCUGCUAGCUAUUGGCUGCUACUAGUUAGUACUUAGUAGUUACUGCUAGCAGUGCUAAGUAGCUGCUGCUGCUUCUAUUGCUUGUGCAAUUGUGCUAGUAGCUGCUGCUGCUUCUAUUGCUUGUGCAAUUGUGCUAGUAGCCAGUAGAUGUUCAUUGCAUGACCUGCACUAGUAGCUAGUAGAUGUGCUGGUACCUGUAUGCUAGUAUUGUUGGUGUGUUGAAUGUCUUAGUAGAACAUCAUCAGGUUGAUGUGUUGUAGUCAAGUUUUGGAAGUUUUGCCAUGCCAUGCCUAGUGUUUACUGAACUGAGGUAUUUGGGCAUUUAUGUGUAAUUUUUAUUCUCUUGAAUGGAUAUUUUUUUAUUGGCAAUCAUUUAACUUCCAUUGUAUCUUAUAAUUUAUGCAGAUCAGGAUCUAAUGUUGUUGAGGUGGCUGCUGUUGUGACCAUGAUCAGAAGAAGCCUGGAGAUGUGCACAAUAGUUUUAGUUGAUGUUGCCACCAUGUUUUGGUGCAUGUGUAUUUCUUUUUGAUUGUAUGCACACUUGAUGGAUCGUGUAGACGUGUAUGUGCUGUUGUGAGUUUCAUUGAGUGAUUUCUGGAUUUGAUCAUUUAAUUGUGAGAAUUAUUGAUUGUUUGCUGUUGAAAUGUGUAAAA